rnacentral:rRNA from 1 species
AUUGAACGCUGGCGGAAUGCUUUACACAUGCAAGUCGAACGGCAGCACGGGGGCAGCCCUGGUGGCGAGUGGCGAACGGGUGAGUAAUACAUCGGAACGUGCCCGGUCGUGGGGGAUAACGUAGCGAAAGUUACGCUAAUACCGCAUACGAUCUGAGGAUGAAAGCGGGGGACCUUCGGGCCUCGCGCGAUCGGAGCGGCCGAUGUCAGAUUAGGUAGUUGGUUGGUAAAGGCCUACCAAGCCGACGAUCUGUAGCUGGUCUGAGAGGACGACCAGCCACACUGGGACUGAGACACGGCCCAGACUCCUACGGGAGGCAGCAGUGGGGAAUUUUGGACAAUGGGCGCAAGCCUGAUCCAGCCAUUCCGCGUGCAGGACGAAGGCCUUCGGGUUGUAAACUGCUUUUGUACGGAACGAAAAGGCUCUGGCUAAUACCUGGGGCUCAUGACGGUACCGUAAGAAUAAGCACCGGCUAACUACGUG